rnacentral:rRNA from 1 species
GACUGGUGCCAGCCGCCGCGGUAACACCAGCGCUACGAGUGGCAAUCACGUUUAUUGGGCCUAAAGCGUCCGUAGCUGGUUUUAUAAAUUUCUUGUGAAACUGCAGGCUUAACUUGGCAAUGUGCAGGAAACACUGUAAGAAUUGAGACAGGGAACGGUCAGAGGUAUUCCUGAGGGAGCGGUAAAAUGCUAUAAUCUCAGGAGGACCACCGGUGGCGAAGGCGUCUGACUAGAACUGAUCUGACUGUGGGGGGACGAAAGCUAGGGGAGCCAACCGGAUUACAUACCCUAGUAGUCCUGGGCU